rnacentral:ncRNA from 1 species
AAUUUCAUAAAUUAAGUUUCGUAUAACUCCGAUAAUAUGGUUUGGAGGUCUCUACUAGGAACCAAUAAUUCCUAAUUACGAAGAAGGUAUAUCUU